ensembl:lncRNA
GGGUGGCGAGGUAGAGUUACCAGGGAAACACUGAGGGGGUGGAGGAUGGAGAGGUAGAGUUACCAGGGAAACACUGAGGGGGUGGAGGAUGGAGAGGUAGAGUUACCAGGGGAACACUGAGGGGGUAGAAGAUCAAGAGGUAGAGUAACCAAGGAAACACUAAGGGGGUGGGGGUGGAGAGCUAGAUUUACCAGGGAAACACUGAGAGGGUGGAGAGGUAGAGUUACCAGGGAAACACUGAGGGGGUGGAGGAUGGAGAGGUAGAGUUACCAGGGAAACACUGAGGGGGUGGAGGGUGGAGAGGUAGAUUUACCAGGGAAACACUGAGGGGGUGGAGGGUGGAGAGGUAGAUUUACCAGGGAAACACUGAGGGGGUGGAGGAUGGAGAGGUAGAGUAACCAAGGAAACACUAAGGGGGUGGGGGGUGGAGAGCUAUAUUUACCAGGGAAACACUGAGAGGGUGGAGAGGUAGAGUUACCAGGUGAACACUGAGAGGGUGGAGAGGUAGAGUUACCAGUGGAACACUGAGGGGGUGGAGGAUGGAGAGGUAGAGUUACCAAGGAAACACUAAGGGGGUGGGGGUGGAGAGGAAGAGUUACCAAGGAAACACUAAGGGGAGUGGGGGUGGAGAGGAAGAGUUACCAAGGAAACACUAAGGGGGUGGAGAG